ACGGAAGGCAGCAGUGGGGAAUAUUGCACAAUGGGCGAAAGCCUGAUGCAGCGACGCCGCGUGAGUGAAGAAGUAUCUCGGUAUGUAAAGCUCUAUCAGCAGGGAAGAAAAUGACGGUACCUGACUAAGAAGCCCCGGCUAACUACGUGCCAGCAGCCGCGGUAAUACGUAGGGGGCAAGCGUUAUCCGGAUUUACUGGGUGUGAAGGGAGCGUAGACGGUUUGGCAAGUCUGAAGUGAAAUGCGGGGGCUCAACUCCUGAACUGCUUUGGAAACUGUCGAACUAGAGUGCAGGAGAGGUAAGUGGAAUUCCUAGUGUAGCGGUGAAAUGCGUAGAUAUUAGGAGGAACACCAGUGGCGAAGGCGGCUUACUGGACUGUAACUGACGUUGAGGCUCGAAAGCGUGGGGAGCAAACAGGAUUAGAUACCCUGGUA
rnacentral:rRNA from 1 species